ACUUUGAUUUUGGCUCGGACGAACGCUGGCGGCGCGCCUAACACAUGCAAGUCGAGCGGGAAGCUUUUUAAGGAUUCUUCGGAUGAAUUAAAAANUGGAGAGCGGCGGACGGGUGAGUAACGCGUGAGAAACCUGCCCUAUACAGGGGGGAUAGCCAUUGGAAACGAUGAUUAAUACCCCAUAUGACCACAGUAUCGCAUGAUACAGCGGUGAAAACUCCGGUGGUAUAGGAUGGUCUCGCGUCUGAUUAGCUAGUUGGUGGGGUAACGGCCUACCAAGGCGACGAUCAGUAGCCGGCCUGAGAGGGUGACCGGCCACACUGGAACUGAGACACGGUCCAGACUCCUACGGGAGGCAGCAGUGGGGAAUAUUGCACAAUGGGCGAAAGCCUGAUGCAGCGACGCCGCGUGAACGAUGAAGGCUUUCGAGUCGUAAAGUUCUGUUCUUGGGGAAGAUGACGACGGUACCCAAGGAGAAAGCACCGGCUAAAUACGUGCCAGCAGCCGCGGUA
rnacentral:rRNA from 1 species